AACGAACGCUGGCGGCAGGCCUAACACAUGCAAGUCGAGCGAGGACUCCGGUUCUAGCGGCGGACGGGUGAGUAACGCGUGGGAAUGUGCCCUUCUCUACGGAAUAGCCCUGGGAAACUGGGAGUAAUACCGUAUACGCACUAUUGGGGAAAGAUCUAUCGGAGAAGGAUCAGCCCGCGUUGGAUUAGGUAGUUGGUGGGGUAAUGGCCUACCAAGCCGACGAUCCAUAGCUGGAUUGAGAGGAUGAUCAGCCACACUGGGACUGAGACACGGCCCAGACUCCUACGGGAGGCAGCAGUGGGGAAUCUUAGACAAUGGGGGCAACCCUGAUCUAGCCAUGCCGCGUGAGUGAUGAAGGCCUUAGGGUUGUAAAGCUCUUUCAGCUGGGAAGAUAAUGACGGUACCAGCAGAAGAAGCCCCGGCUAACUACGUG
rnacentral:rRNA from 1 species